rnacentral:rRNA from 1 species
UACGUAGGGGGCAAGCGUUGUCCGGAUUUACUGGGCGUAAAGAGCGCGCAGGCGGUCGUUCAAGUCGCGUGUGAAAGCCCCCCGGCUCAACUGGGGAGGGUCACGCGAUACUGAUCGACUCGAAGGCAGGAGAGGGAAGUGGAAUUCCCGGUGUAGUGGUGAAAUGCGUAGAUAUCGAGGAAGAACACCAAUGGCGAAGGCAGCUCUCUGGGACGGUACUGACGCUGAGACGCGAAAGCGUGGGGAGCGAACAGG